CCUCGGGAACUGUGAGACAGGUGCUGCAUGGCUGUCGUCAGCUCGUGUUGUGAAAUGUUGGGUUAAGUCCCGCAACGAGCGCAACCCUUAUCCUUUGUUGCCAGCGGUUCGGCCGGGAACUCAAAGGAGACUGCCAGUGAUAAACUGGAGGAAGGUGGGGAUGACGUCAAGUCAUCAUGGCCCUUACGACCAGGGCUACACACGUGCUACAAUGGCAUAUACAAAGAGAAGCGACCUCGCGAGAGCAAGCGGACCUCAUAAAGUAUGUCGUAGUCCGGAUUGGAGUCUGCAACUCGACUCCAUGAAGUCGGAAUCGCUAGUAAUCGUAGAUCAGAAUGCUACGGUGAAUACGUUCCCGGGCCUUGUACACACCGCCCGUCACACCAUGGGAGUGGGUUGCAAAAGAAGUAGGUAGCUUAACCUUCGGGAGGGCGCUUACCACUUUGUGAUUCAUGACUGGGGUGAAGUCGUAACAAGGUAACCGUAGGGGAACCUGCGGUUGGAUCACCUCCUUA
rnacentral:ncRNA from 1 species